rnacentral:lncRNA from 1 species
AUUGGUUAGCCUGACUUACUCCAGAGCCAAAGAAGUUCCUUGAAGUUCCCACUUCACAAAAAAAUCUGAUGUAAGCAUACAAUCAUAGAAGCCUCGCUCGUGUACCCUGUUCUGAGAUGCUUCUGUCACGGCUUCAAGCUGGUACCAACCCAGAAGGCAAUACAGAAGUGUUCAGGAGUGAAGCAGUCCAAGAGUUUCCACAGCUAACAUUAACACUGAAGCCUAACGGAACAGGCUUCAAUGUUUUCCUCCAACCUGCAAUGAAAUAUUUUAUGGCCAAUGUUUUAAAGCCUUGGACCUCAGCCACAGCAGCUCCGGACAUCCUCCCGAAGGUAAUAGGUUGCCAGCACUUUGCAGACAGGAGGAAGAGGAAGCAUGCAGUGACACGUCAGGCGCUGAGCAACAAGCCUCUGCCACUUCUCCUGAGAUGACAAAUCUUCCUGGUGCAGGAGACCUUAAUGCAUCUGCGAGUUCAGCUCUAUUUGGGCAUUUUGCAGGAAGAAGCUUUUUCUAAUGAUGCAAUUUUCACUAAUGCAAUUCAUCUUGUUUUAACCUUUUCCCUUUUCGUAUGGGAUUACCAAGGAAACAUCUUGCUUUGGAGCCUUGCAAGGAGCUUUUCAUCUAAACCGUGACCCGUGAUUCCCAACAACAGGUCGCUCAGCCCCGUCCUUGCUUGUUUUGUUUCCCAAACCCAAGACGUGCUGUUUGGAGAGAGGUUGUUUGUUCUAAAAUACCCAUCUAGAAAGUCAUUUGUUUUCAUCAGAGCUGUUCAAGUGAAACUCGUGGAAAAUUCCCAGGCAACAGGCGGGUUGGUUUCUGCCUGCAGCACCAGAAAUAACCAGAGGAAGAGGGGCCCUGGUGGAAGGCACGGCCAUUCGCGUGUAGGAGAGAAGCAGAAACUGCAAGUCAAGGUGAAAAGAGACGCCUGAAGUCUGGAGAGUGACAGCAAAAACCUCACAAGCCACUUUAACCUCAAAGCCCACUACAAACAAUUUCACCAAAUGUGCGAUUCACCCUUGUUAGACAAGUGCUGCACUCCACAGAUUCCCACACUGCGCACACAGCCCGCUCAGAAGAGAUCUCAGCUCAGAAGUUCCCAACGAGUAACCCCAUAAUUCGCCUCACUCCCCCAAAUCUCAGAUCCACUUCCAAAAUACAGUAACUGCCCCCUCCUGCCAGCUCAGACACACAGUACCCAGAGCAGUGCACCAUGGGGCUCUUCCCUUUACUUCCAUCCCUCACCCCAAGGAGCGCCCCAUAUCCCCAUCCCCAGCACCUUCCCUCCCUGGUGCAGGAGGCUUUUUGCAACUGGAGCAUGAAGGCAACUUCACUUCCCUGUGCCACAGUUUGCUGAGUGUGAACAUUCGCUUGCUUCCCCUCCGUGCCGCUGACGACUGUUAAUUUUGUCACAUCAGCCACUUCUGUGGGUUUAACUUUGCUCUCCUGCUCCCGCCACUGCAGCUCGGUAAUAAAUCAGGAGUCUGGAGGCUUCCCGUGGAACA